rnacentral:lncRNA from 1 species
CAAGUCCCCAGGUCAAAGAUCCCCCUCAGGUGGGGACUGGCUUCCCAGAAGCCUCCAAAACAAACAGUGAUAAGCAAAUGAGAUGUAGGAAGCUGGCUGGUAGCCAGCGUGAGGCUGGGUGCCAAGCUUGGGGUGGUGAGGGACCAGAAAAGACCGAGGGCUUCCACCACACCGGCUUGUCGGGGCAGCUCCGGGCUGAACCUCUCCCCCUCCCUCAGCGGCCAUCACCUCUGGGCAGGAUAAGAUGCAGGAGUGGGAACCCAGCCUGCCUGGGUGAAACCCGCCUGGGACCCGGGGCAGGUCAGGCUGGCAGGAGCGCUGUGAGGCUGGCAAAUUCCGUGCAGGAGGGAAACUUGGCCUCACGCCAUCUGCUCACCUGGCGCCAAGGCCCAGGGUGAUGACAGUGGUGGGGAGGAGUGGCUCAGGGUUGCUCGAGGUGCCAGGCAACAGACAACGCCAAGCCUCAGCGUCGCCCGUGCUUUCUGGGCCGCCAAGUCUCCAAGCAUCAGCCCACGCCAAGGAGAGCAGGGUCAACGGCAUGUGAAGUGGUGAGCGACCUACAAAGCUAACUCUGCUCUUGCUGUGGGCCACAGACCUUGGAAGGUGGGGCUUGGGGGUGGGGCGCAAGGACAACUAGCAUUUACUGAGCUUUUACUCUCCGUCAGACUCUAUUGGCUACAGCAUGUAGUAGCUCACAUUUCUCAGCACGACUCCGAGAUUAUGUCCAUUUUACCUCUGGGGAAACUGAGGCUUAUACAUGAUGGGUGGUGGAGGGGGGGCCCACAGCGGAAGGGCACACAGCUGGGGAGGGAUUCACCUGCUGGCCCAGAUGUCUGAGUCAGGCUGUUCCCACUGCCCUCGACUCUGCGUCGUCAAGGAACCUGCCCUCCAGGCCCCAGCCCCAGCCGUGGACCCGCCACUGCACUGCUCCAGCCCCCUUCUGAGGCCCACAGCACCCCCACCUCGUGAUCAAGUCCCCGGGACCCCGCCGAGUGUCCUGUCUCUCCAGGAAGUCGGUCACCCCGCUGUCUGGAGGAAGACAGAGCUGGGAGUGGAAUGUGGACUUCUCUUCUUUCUACCUCUUUCCCUGGGCUGGUUUUCUUCUGGGAAAUCGGACAGAAGACUGCCCUGGAGGUAAGCCCAGGCGUCAGCGGGGAAAAGAAGUCGGAAGAGUGAGCCGCCUGCCUCCUGGGGGCCCCAUGGGCGUACAGAGCCUCGGCUGGAGAGCAGGUCCAUGGCUUCCUCCUCCUUGGUGUCCUGAGCCUGCCAGAUGGCCUGGCACACAGCAGGCCCUCAGUAGGUUCCUGUUAAAGGAAUGAAUGAAUGAUGAGGGCGGUGAGCGAUCUCCCAGGCCUGCCUCACUUCCUGUCCCUCUGCACCGUUUUCUGCUCCUCGGGAUCCCUGCUACAUCUCCUUCUGGUCUCCACCCCCGCCCUCCUGACCUGUCUGAGUUGACCUCCCUCACCUCGCCCCUCCCUAUGCGCCCUUCCUUCCUCCCAGUAGCCUGUUCUGUGAUAAGGGUUGUUUAGCUGCCUGUGCCCAGAUAAUUCUCCUUCCUGGCCUCUGCUGAGUUCCCCUACCCUGUGACUUGGACUAGGCUGACCCAUUUGACUGAACCUUUGUCCUCCUUGC